CGGCGAGUGAAGCGGCAAAAGCUCAAAUUUGAAAUCUGGCCUCUUCCGGGGGUCCGAGUUGUAAUUUGUAGAGGAUGCUUCGGGUGCGGCCGCGGCGCAAGUCCCUUGGAACAGGGCGUCGCAGAGGGUGAGAACCCCGUCUUGAGUCGCCGGUGCGCGCCCGUGCGAAGCUCCUUCGACGAGUCGAGUUGUUUGGGAAUGCAGCUCAAAGUGGGUGGUAAAUUUCAUCUAAAGCUAAAUAUUGGCCGGAGACCGAUAGCGCACAAGUAGAGUGAUCGAAAGGUUAAAAGCACCUUGAAAAGGGAGUUAAACAGCACGUGAAAUUGUUGAAAGGGAAGCGCUUGCGACCAGACUCGGACGCGGGGGUUCAGCGGGCAGGCUCUGCCCGUGCACUCCGCCGCGCUCCGGGCCAGCAUCAGUUUCGACGGCCGGUCAAAGGCCCCCGGAAUGUGUCGUCCUCCGGGACGUCUUAUAGCCGGGGGCGCAAUGCGGCCAGUCGGGACUGAGGAACGCGCUUCGGCACGGAUGCUGGCGUAAUGGUCGUAAGCGACCCGUCUUGAAACACGGACCAAGGAGUCUAACAUCCACGCGAGUGUUCGGGUGUCAAACCCGUGCGCGCAGUGAAAGCGAACGGAGGUGGGAGCCUCUCCCUCGGGGGGGUGCACCAUCGACCGAUCCUGAAGUCUUCGGAUGGAUUUGAGUAGGAGCGUGGCUGUUGGGACCCGAAAGAUGGUGAACUAUGCCUGAAUAGGGUGAAGCCAGAGGAAACUCUGGUGGAGGCUCGCAGCGGUUCUGACGUGCAAAUCGAUCGUCAAAUUUGGGUAUAGGGCGAAAGACUAAU
rnacentral:rRNA from 1 species